UACGAAGGGGGCUAGCGUUGCUCGGAAUUACUGGGCGUAAAGCGCACGUAGGCGGUCUUUUAAGUCGGGGGUGAAAUCCUGGAGCUCAACUCCAGAACUGCCUUCGAUACUGGCAGGCUUGAAUCCGGGAGAGGGAUGCGGAAUUCCAGGUGUAGCGGUGAAAUGCGUAGAUAUCUGGAGGAACACCGGUGGCGAAGGCGGCAUCCUGGACCGGCAUUGACGCUGAGGCGCGAAAGCCAGCGGAGCAAACGGG
rnacentral:rRNA from 1 species